GAAGCUGGAAUCGCUAGUAAUCGCGAAUCAGAAUGUCGCGGUGAAUACGUUCCCGGGUCUUGUACACACCGCCCGUCACACCAUGGGAGUCGGAUAUGCCCGAAGCCGGUGACCUAACCGCAAGGAAGGAGCCGUCGAAGGUGGAGCCGAUGACUGGGGUGAAGUCGUAACAAGGUACC
rnacentral:rRNA from 1 species